rnacentral:rRNA from 1 species
ACUAGUCGAGUGCUCUUGCGCGGAUAAUGUACCGGGGCUAAGCAUAUUACCGAAACUGUGGAUGCGUAAGCAUGGUAGGAUAGCGUAAUUAACGCGAUGAAGGAUGACCGUAAGGACAUGUUGGAGCGUUAACUAGUGAGAAUUCCGGUAUGAGUAGCGAAAGAUAGGUGAGAAUCCUAUCCACCGAAUGAGUAAGGUUUCCCCCGGAAGGCUCGUCCGCGGGGGGUUAGUCGGGACCUAAGGCGAGGCUGAAAAGCGUAGUCGAUGGACAACAGGUUGAUAUUCCUGUACCGAUAUUUAAUUGCCGAAGGAAGGACGCAGAAGGAUAACACAGGCCACUAUUGGAUGUGGUUUUAAACAGUUAGUCUUCAUAAGAGUCAAAUGCUUUUAUGUUUAAGGAUAAGCUGUGAAUGUACCAAGUUUACUUGGAAAUUGUGUGAUUUCACGCUGCUGAAAAAAGUUUCGUAGGAAGAAAAUAUUGCCCGUACCGCAAACCGACACAGGUACUCGAGUGGAGAACACUAAGGUGAGCGAGUGAACUAUUGUUAAGGAACUCUGCAAAAUGAGUCCGUAACUUCGGAAGAAGGACUGCUGGUUUUAUACCAGCCGCAGCAAAUAGGCCCAAACAACUGUUUAUCAAAAACACAGGUUUCUGCAAAAUCGUAAGAUGAAGUAUAGGGCUGACGCCUGCCCAGUGCUGGAAGGUUAAAAGGAGGACUUAGCUUCGGCGAAGGUCUUAAUUGAAGCCCCAGUGAACGGCGGCCGUAACUAUAACGGUCCUAAGGUAGCGAAAUUCCUUGUCGGGUAAGUUCCGACCCGCAUGAAAGGCGUAAUGAUUUGGGCGCUGUCUCAACAAUAGACUCGGUGAAAUUUAAAUUCCAGUGAAGAUGCUGGGUACCCGCGACAGGACGGAAAGACCCCGUGGAGCUUUACUGUAGCUUGAUAUUGAAUGUUUGUGCUGCAUGUGCAGGAUAGGUAGGAGACUUUGAAGUCGGAACGCUAGUUUCGAUUGAGUCACCCUUGAGAUACUACCUCUGUUGUAUGAACGUUCUAACUCUGAUCAGUUAUCCUGAUCGAAGACAGUGUCUGGCAGGCAGUUUGACUGGGGCGGUCGCCUCCUAAAAGAUAACGGAGGCGCUCAAAGGUUUGCUCAGAAUGGUUGGAAAUCAUUCGUAGCGUGUAAAGGCAUAAGCAAGCUUGACUGUGAGACUGACAAGUCGAGCAGGUACGAAAGUAGGACUUAGUGAUCCGGUGGUUCCGUAUGGAAGGGCCAUCGCUCAACGGACAAAAGCUACCCCGGGGAUAACAGGCUCAUCUCCCCCAAGAGUCCACAUCGACGGGGAGGUUUGGCACCUCGAUGUCGGCUCAUCGCAUCCUGGGGCUGUAGUCGGUCCCAAGGGUUGGGCUGUUCGCCCAUUAAAGCGGUACGCGAGCUGGGUUCAGAACGUCGUGAGACAGUUCGGUCCCUAUCCGUCGUGGGCGCAGGAAAUUUGAGAGGAUCUGUCCUUAGUACGAGAGGACCGGGAUGGACAUACCUCUGGUGUACCAGUUGUUCUGCCAAGAGCACCGCUGGGUAGCUACGUAUGGAUUAGAUAAUCGCUGAAAGCAUCUAAGUGAGAAACUAACCUCGAGAUGAGAUUUCCCAUUCGUCAGAAGUAAGACCCCUGAGAGACGAUCAGGUAGAUAGGCUAGAAGUGGAAGUGUAGUGAUGCAUGGAGCGGACUAGUACUAAUAGGUCGAGGACUUAACCAAG